rnacentral:rRNA from 1 species
GAUGAACGCUAGCGGCAGGCCUAACACAUGCGAGUCGAGGGAGGAGCCUUCGGGCUUCGACCGGCGUACGGGUGCGUAACGCGUAUACAAUCUGCCUUUCACAUAGGGAUAGCCCGAAGAAAUUUGGAUUAAUACCUAAUGGUAUAUAGAUGUGGCAUCACCUUUAUAUUAAAGCUGAGGCGGUGAAAGAUGAGUAUGCGUUCUAUUAGCUAGUUGGAGAGGUAACGGCUCCCCAAGGCGACGAUAGAUAGGGGUUCUGAGAGGGAUAUCCCCCACACUGGUACUGAGAUACGGACCAGACUCCUACGGGAGGCAGCAGUGAGGAAUAUUGGACAAUGGUCGGAAGACUGAUCCAGCCAUGCCGCGUGCAGGAAGACGGCCUUAUGGGUGGUAAACUGCUUUUGCAGGGGAAGAAUAAGGACUACGCGUAGUUUGAUGACGGUACUCUGCGAAUAAGCAUCGGCUAACUCCGUG